rnacentral:rRNA from 1 species
CGCGAGUGGCGGACGGGUGAGUAACGCGUGGGCAACCUGCCCUGUACUGGGGGAUAACACCUGGAAACAGGUGCUAAUACCGCAUAAGCGCGCCGCGCCGCAUGGCGGGGCGCGGAAAACCCCGGUGGUACAGGAUGGGCCCGCGUCUGAUUAGCUGGUUGGCAGGGUAACGGCCUACCAAGGCGACGAUCAGUAGCCGGCCUGAGAGGGUGGACGGCCACACUGGGACUGAGACACGGCCCAGACUCCUACGGAAGGCAGCAG